rnacentral:rRNA from 1 species
CCUACGGGCGGCAGCAGUGGGGAAUAUUGCACAAUGGGGGAAACCCUGAUGCAGCGACGCCGCGUGAGUGAAGAAGUAUUUCGGUAUGUAAAGCUCUAUCAGCAGGGAAGAAAAUGACGGUACCUGAUCAAGAAGCCCCGGCUAACUACGUGCCAGCAGCCGCGGUAAGACGGAGGGGGCAAGCGUUAUCCGGAUUUACUGGGUGUAAAUGGAGCGUAGACGGCAGAACAAGUCUGGAGUGAAAUGCCGGGGCUUAACCCCGGAACUGCUUUGGAAACUGUGCAGCUAGAGUGCAGGAGAGGUAAGUGGAAUUCCUAGUGUAGCGGUGAAAUGCGUAGAUAUUAGGAGGAACACCAGUGGCGAAGGCGGCUUACUGGACUGUAACUGACGUUGAGGCUCGAAAGCGUGGGGAGCAAACAGGAUUAGAUACCCUUGUAGUC